rnacentral:lncRNA from 1 species
AUCAAUAAUGAAUUUGCAUACACCUAAAACAACAUAUGUAUAUAUUUGAUUGCGGUGAAAUAGUCAAUUGAGUGACUAACGAGGGCAACUGCAGAAACGAGAGCGUAUGCCCCGCAGAGACUGAAAAAUAUUCCGUCCUGCCAUUUGACCGACUCAUUGAUCUCAUCCCACCAGUUCGCCGCCAGUUCUCCGACACCGAAGUCAAUCUCCGGCAAGGUCAGUAGCAUUCUCGUCAUUUCAGCUCAGAUCUCCUGCCAAGUCAAAAACUGUGAAUUUUAUCGAAUCACACCACUACGAAACAAGGAGGCGCGUGGGCCUCUACAUCAAAUCUUGAGAGAAGAAAGCGAUAAAAUUAUUAGUAAAAUUCAAAAACAGCAUUCUAUCUUCACGACCCUACAAG